GGAGAUUGAAAUCCAGAAGGAGGUUGUAAUGGUAAACAAACUCCAUCACCCACACCUACAGUUGCCAUUUUAUUUUCUGUGGCCACAGAAUCACUGAGCAAUGCUUGUGGUCUCCGAUUAGCAUUAUUUCCUGCAAUACUGGAUGCAGAAGAUGAAGAAGCAGCGUAAGCAUGUGUUUCAUUUUCCUUCUUGUAUGCAGGUUUAGCAUGGGAAACACCAGUCUCACGUCCAUAACGGUCGGCACCACCUCUGCCACCACGAUGUGUUGUGUUAUUGCCACCACGGGGCCUUGGAUCAGUUAUCUCCUUAUUCUCUUUUUUCUUUUCUCGUUUGCUCUUGACCUCAUGGAAAGGAUCUUGAGAGAGGAGGCGAUUAACGGCCUCGUUAGGGUCCAUAUUACACUCUUUUAGCAUAGCGUAGAUCUCGGGCUCUGGACAGUUCACAAUCUCCUUCAAGCUCUG
rnacentral:misc_RNA from 1 species